UCCCCUGGGACUAGAGUUAAAUUAAAGAUGGUUGUGAGCCACCAUGUUGUUCCUGAGAAUUAAACCUGGAUCCUCGCAAAGGUCACUAAGUGCUCUUAACUGCUGAGUCAUCUCUCCAGGGCAGGAAAUUCUUAAGGGCGAGUCCUUGGAAAGGCUGAGGAAGCUUCUGCUCCCAGAGCCUUUGCUUACUCCCAGUUGAGUUGGGAGGGUAACUGUAUUUGAUUUUUGGAGUUCUUUGGGGCUCUGGAUUCAGUCACUUCUCAGUCUAUACUCUUGUUAGCUUUUGUAACUCAGCCUGAGUAACAGUUACGUGGUGGCUUUGCUGAAUCCUUUCUCCUCAACCAAACCAACCCUUCCCUCGUUUUGUGGUGGUGGGACUUAAACCUACACAUGGCCUUGUGCCCACUGGACAUGUGCCCUUGGUGGGUGUCAGAGUGAAUACUGCCAUCCUAGCUUAGGAAGCUGAGAUAGCAGUUGGGCAGGGGGGCGUGCCAUGAGUUUGAGCUACAUGACAAGACCUUGUCUCAAAACAUAGGUGAUGAGAUCUCUAAGAAGGUUCUUCUCAUUCUUUACAUAGAAGAGGAUUAAAGAGUAUAGACAGUUCACAGAAUCUUUGGGAGGCUUUCAGAUUGUUCCUGAAGAAACAGAUCUAGGCCCUAUCAUGGAGUUCCACAUGCAGGAAGCCCAAAACUGCAUAAACUGAUUACCGUGGCACAUGCAUCUAAUCCCAGCUUCAGAAGUUCAAGGUCAUUCUCAGGAGUGUAAGGAGUUCAAGGGCAGCAACAUGAGAUCCUGUCUCAAAAGGAAGAGAUAAAGAAAAAGCUUCAAGGUGCCUCAUUACUGGAGCAGGCUGCCCAUGAACUUUAGGGAUAACCAACAACCAGGAAGCUGCCUGCUAUGUCAGGAAACCGAACACUUGCCAGCUCUAGAACCUCACCAGCCUGCCAGGUGCUGUGGCCACAAAGGUGAAGGACUCACUUCCUGUUUCCGUGCCCACAUCACUCCAGUCAAAGUCUGAGCUGUCCCGAUCAACCAAGACACUGACAAGGAGCCAGAGUGAGAGGAAUUGAACCUAGUUUGGCACAUAUUAUGCAAGUGCUCUACUGUCUGCUGCCUACCUGUAUCCUCUUUGGGUGUGUGUGGGUUGUUUCAAGACAGGGUUUCUCUCU